CGGGCACUAGCUCAGUGGCAGAGCUCCCACUUUGUAUGCGGAAAGACCUGGGUUCGAUUCCCGGCUGCUUGC
rfam:Toxocara canis scaffold141, whole genome shotgun sequence.